UUAAUUGAAACCAAAAAAGAGGUAUAUUAUUGUUAAUAAUAUUAUUGAAAAUAAAAAUUCCAAUUAAA
rnacentral:tRNA from 1 species